UACGUAGGGGGCAAGCGUUGUCCGGAUUUAUUGGGCGUAAAGAGCGUGUAGGCGGCCAUGUAGGUCCGUUGUGAAAACUCGAGGCUCAACCUCGAGACGCCGAUGGAAACCAUGUGGCUAGAGUCCGGAAGAGGAGAGUGGAAUUCCUGGUGUAGCAGUGAAAUGCGUAGAUAUCAGGAGGAAUACCGAUGGCGAAGGCAGGUCUCUGGGCUGACACUGACGCUCAUGCACGAAAGCGUGGGGAGCAAACAGG
rnacentral:rRNA from 1 species